rnacentral:rRNA from 1 species
UACGAAGGGGACUAGCGUUGUUCGGAAUUACUGGGCGUAAAGCGCGCGUAGGCGGAUCGCUAAGUCAGGGGUGAAAUCCCGAGGCUCAACCUCGGAACUGCCUUCGAUACUGCGGGUCUCGAGUCCGGGAGAGGUGAGUGGAAUUCCUAGUGUAGAGGUGAAAUUCGUAGAUAUUAGGAAGAACACCAGUGGCGAAGGGCGGCUCACUGGCCCGGUACUGACGCUGAG